rnacentral:rRNA from 1 species
UCCUGGCUCAGAAUGAACGUUGGCGGCGUGGAUUAGGCAUGCAAGUCGAGCGCGAUAUUUUUGAAAGAUACUUCGGUUGAUUUCUUAAAUGGAAAGCGGCGAAAGGGAGAGUAACGAGUAGAUACGUACCCAAGGGUUCGGGAUAGCCAUGCGAAAGCGUGAGUAAUACCGAAUAAUGUCUCCGGACCAAAGAUUUAUUGCCCUUGGAGCGGUUUGCUUACUAUUAGCUUGUUGGUGGGGUAAAGGCUUACCAAGGCUUAGAUGGUUAGCGGGUGUGAGAGCAUGACCCGUCUCACUGGGACUGAGACACUGCCCAGACACCUACGGGUGGCUGCAGUCGAGAAUCUUCCGCAAUGGACGAAAGUCUGACGGAGCGACGCCGCGUGCUGGAUGAAGGCCCUCGGGUUGUAAACAGCUGUCGUAGGGGAGGAAAUUUUGACCGAUCCUAGGAGGAAGCACAGGCUAAGUCCGUGCCAGCAGCCGCGGUAAUACGAACUGUGCGAACGUUAUUCGGAAUCGCUGGGCUUAAAGGGUGCGUAGGCGGGUUGGUAGGUCAGAUGUGAAAGCCCACGGCUCAACCGUGGAAUUGCGUUUGAAACCACCAGUCUUGAGGGGAUCAGAGGAGAGCGGAACUGAUGGUGGAGCGGUGAAAUGCGUUGAUAUUAUCAGGAACACCGGUGGCGAAAGCGGCUCUCUGGGAUCUUUCUGACGCUGAGGCACGAAAGCUAGGGGAGCGAACGGGAUUAGAUACCCCGGUAGUCCUAGCUGUAAACGAUCUGUACUAGUCUGUGGAGACUCCCACAUCUUCUCGGACGUAGCGAGAGUGUUAAGUACAGCGCCUGGGGAGUAUGGUCGCAAGGCAA